UACGGAGGGAGCUAGCGUUAUUCGGAAUUACUGGGCGUAAAGCGCACGUAGGCGGCUUUGUAAGUUAGAGGUGAAAGCCUGGAGCUCAACUCCAGAAUUGCCUUUGAUACUGCAUGGCUUGAAUCCAGGAGAGGUGAGUGGAAUUCCGAGUGUAGAGGUGAAAUUCGUAGAUAUUCGGAAGAAACACCAGUGGCGAAGGCG
rnacentral:rRNA from 1 species